UCCAGGGAGAUUGAAUUGUUUGCCCAAAGUCAAUUUCUCAACAGACAUUUUAAAUGCCUAUCAUGUACUUAGCCCUUAGUCAUGCCUGGAUCUUGUGACCCUGUUUUGAAUUUUCUUGGCAAAGAUACUAGUUGGUCCUUUCCUUCUCCAACUCAUUUUACAACUGAGGAAACUGAGGCAAAUAGGGUUAAGUGACUUGCUUAGGGUCACAUAAUUAAUAAGUAUUAGGUUCUAAAGAUACAAGGACAAACAACAGACUAUUCUGUGCUCAAAUGGCUGAUCACUGAAGAGAGUUAGAGUUUCUUAGUGACUGAGAUGAAGAGAGAGAGCAUUCUAGGAAUGGGGGAUCAGCUAUGCAAGGACAUAGACUUAGGAAAUGGACCCUCAGGGACAUUAAGCAGGCUGAUUUGGCUGCAGCAGAGUGUGUGAGCAGGAAGAAUAACACUCAUCUUGGAAAGAUAGGCUAUCAGCAGAAGGGCUUUAUAUGCUGAACUAAAGAAUUUAUAUUUCAAUCGAAAGGCAAAGAGGAACCAAUAAGUAUCUUGAGCAGGAGAGUGAUCUCAUCCACUUAGGAAGAGAAAUUUGACAAUUGCAUGGAAAAUAUAUUUGACGGGGACGAGAUAGGAUAUAGGGGAACCAAUUAGGAGGUUACUGCAAUAACCGAAGUGAGACAUGGGGAGAGACUGCACUGGGGGCUUAUAUUAUGAGUAGAUGUAGCCCAGGCAUGGUACCUGCCUCCUUCUCUCUCUGGUUGGGGAUGGCUCACUUACCCCGUUUGCACCCACUUUAUCAGGCUGUUGAGUUUCCUGGGGAGAUGGGGAGUGGUGACCAUGCAGCUCAUUCUUUGAUGUAUGGGCAUAUAUUACUAUUACUCAUCACUGUGGGUCAUCUCCCAAGCUGCUACUCAUGUGCUUCCUGUUGAUACAACAUUAAUUACAAUAACCCGUUAAACUAUUUAAAAUAUAUAUUUUGUUGAUCUAUUUGUUUUUACAUCAUCUAUAUUCUCCCUAUACAGGGCAGCUAAGUGGUGCAAUAGAUAGAAUGUUGGGCCUGAAGUCAGGAAGGCCUGAAUUUAAAUCUGGUCUCAGACACUUACUAGCUAAGUGACCCCAGGCAAGUCACUUAACCCUGUUGGCCUCUCUUUCCUCAUCUAUAAAAUGAACUGGAGAAGAAAAUGGCAAACCAUUCGAGUAUCUCUGCCAAGAAAUCCCCACAAAGGGUCAUGAAGAGUCAGACAUGACUGUAAAGGCUGAACAGCAACAACAAAAAUAUUUCUUCAUUUAUUUUCCCAAAGAGCUGUUCUGUAUAUUAAAGAUUUUUUUCAAAAGGAAGACAUAAAAUGAGGAAGGAGAUGAGACAUUCUACAAACUUGAUCAACUCAUCAACCCCCCCCCAUAAUCUGAUUUUAUGUGGAAUGUCUAUGGAUCUGGAUCUCUUCAGAGGAGAAGAGUAAUGUGCUAUACAGUGCCCUUGGGCUUAAGACUGUUCCUUUUGAAUUUUAUGACAUUCAGUUUUGGGUCAUGAUUGUUAUUUUUUCCAUGUUAUUGUUGUUUUCAUUUUGUGCAUUGUCUAUCAGCAGAAGUUAAGUUGUUCUAUGCCUCUUUGUAUUCAUUGUGCUCAUUGUUUCUUACCACACAGUAAUAUUCUUUUACAUUCGCAUAUGACAAAUUUUAGCUAUUUAGACAAUUUAGCUAUUAGACAAUUUUAGCUAUUCCUCAAUCAUUGGGCAUCUAUUUUGUUAGUAGUUUUUUUCCACUGCCACAAAAUAAGCUGUUAUAAGUAUUUUGGUGUAUAUGAUACUUUUGUUUUUGCUGAUGCUUUCUUCCUUGUGGUACAUUUGUAAUACUUUCUUUGUUUUUCUUGUGCCCUAUCCCAAUUUGGCUAAUUUGGAAAUGUUUUGGAUAACUUUAUAUGUAUAAUGGAUAUCAUAUUUCUCAAUGGGCAAGAGAGGUGUGGAGGAAGGGGAAUAAUUUGGAACUGAAAACAAAACAAAACAACAACAAAAACAAAAACAAAAGCCUCCAAGAUUAUGAUCUGGGUGAGUGAAAGAAUGGUGGCACACUGGAUCAGGAGAUUAUUAGGAGAGGUGGUGUACGGGAAGAUAUAAUGGUUUCUAUUUUAGAUAUGUUGAGUUUUUGAUGACUAUGGGAUAAUCAGUUGGAAAUAUGAAUCAGGCAGUUGGAGAUGUGGGACUGGAGCUCAAGAGGAAGCUAAGGGCUAUGUAGAUAAAUCUGAGUCGUAUCUAAAGAGAUGAUAGUUGAAUCUAGGAGAUCUAAUGAGAUUCCUGAGAUAAAGAGUUAAGAGAGAAGAAUAACUAAUCCAGUUCAGAGCCCCGGGGUACCACUAUGCAGAAGGGGCAGGAUAUUGAGGAUGAACCUUUAAAAGAUACUGAGAAGGUUUGGUCUGACAGAUAGGAAGAGAACAGGGAAAGAGAAGUCCUUUCACUGGAGCUUCUCCAGAGUUCCUUAGGAUAGGACACUGUCUGGCUAAAGUCAUUCCAGGCAAAUUCCUCUUUCAAGAUGAGAAGUGAGGGCAGCAAUCAGAUCCCUGACAUUUUCCCUGAGACAAGUGACAGCUGGUGAGGCUUUUGACUAAAGGAAGAAGGAGCAAGCAAGAGAAAUCAUUGUGUUAAAAAGCCAUUUAAAAAUGUGUUCUGCCAUCUGUUUGGCCAUACUGGUGGUUUUUUUUUUUUUGGGGGGGGUGGGGGUAGAGAGAGACCUUUCCAUUUUUUUCCUUCACAGAUUGAUCCACUGUCACAUUUCAAAUGGGAUUGGCCCAUUGCAAAAUUAAAAGUCAAAGUACCUCUUUGGUGUAUGCUUUCCUCUCUUCCCACCCUGGUCCCAUGUGCUCCCAUGUGUGCCAUUGCUGUCUAGAGUUCUCUACAUUUUUUCCCCUGGGUCUAUAUUUCCAUCUCUUUAGAGCACAGAAAGACUGAUUAGCAAAUCUAAGAAACUCAUUGACCCUUGGAUGUUAAUGGUUUAGAAUGUUACCCUAUUAAGAGUGGGUCAGCAUUCUAGCAAGAGGCUCUGGGGCAAUAACAUGCUUUAACCCCCAAGAAUAACUUUAUAACAGUGGGAUUUGGCUCACUGAGAGAGGCAAAUAGGAAGAAUAAUUUGGGAAACAGGCACUUUUUGCUGGUUUUCAAAUCCCAUUCUAUGUUCGGCCAUAUAUUGUACAGUGCUAAAGGCUUGAGACCAGCCCUUGUGAUAACAGUCCCCUCCAUUUGUAAUUUGUUCUUAGAGGUGCUUUUAAACUCAUUAUUUCUUUUAUCUGUGCAAUAACCCUAUGAGUUAGAUGGGAUAUAUGCAGCAUCAUAAAGUUUCAAGCAGGAAGGGACCUUACUGUAAAUUUAGUCCAAUAUUCUCAUUUGUAAAAUGAUCAGAGGAGGACAAUGACUUGCUAAGGUCUCACUGAUAGUAAGUGUAGUGAGGUUGUUCUCUGUAUUUGGCAAAUGGUGUGACUUGCAAGGAGUCACAAAAGAUAUAAAUGUAAAGGGUCUUCUUCCCCUCAAUCCUUCUCUGAGACUUUAAUUCAUGCCAGAACAACAAGAUCUUAGAAGGGAUCUCAGAUAUUUAGUACAACCCAUUAUGGAAUUUGAAUGUCCCCGAUAUCUCUCUUUUUCUUUACCUUUUUUCUUUUUCUUUAUCUUUCUUCAUAUUUAUAUAUUUCUAUAUCUUCCUUUUUCUCUUUUUUCAUUGUCUCUCUAUCUCUCUCUCUCUAGGUAUCCUCUACUGUUGGUCCUCCAACCUCUACUUAUAUAUUUUCAGUGAUGCAUCUUUCAAGAGUACAUUCUCUACGACAAUGGCAAAUAUCCCUGACAGCUUGUUCGCCUAUGUAAAAUGAAGACUAACUACAUGUUCUCCGAGGUCCCUUCCAGAUCCUAUGCACAAAGCAUAAAGAUAAGGUGAGAAUUUGGUGCAAUUACAAAGCAUUCUGGGACGUGAGCAAGGACUUCUGGGGACUGGAGUCCUGGAUUCAAGUCUCCAUUUUUAUAAUAUUCUUGUGUGAAGUACAGUGAUAAAAGAACUCUAUAUAUCCUCUGGUACCAGGACUACAUCAAGGACGAGGAGGAGCUAAACAGAUAAAUGUCACUGGAGAGGUCAAGAAGACAUCCUAUGUAGGAAAGUGAACAUCAUCCCCAAGUUCCUGGUGGCAAGAAAUGUGGGCAAGUCAUCUUCUCUCACAGAGUUUCAGAGAGAGAGGUGAGGUGGUACAGUGGAAGGAGCACUAUAGUGUGGAAAGGAAAACUAAAACAAGUUCUGUACUUUCUGCCACCAAGUUGGAACAAACAACAGUGGGAAUAUUAGAGAGAGAAGAAAUUGACAAGACUGACAGUUGGUGGGGGAGGGGUCAACUGGGAGAGGCAGUUGGUCUUGUGACUUAGCACUUCCUUCCUGGCCCUGGAAGCGUAAGGAGCUUUCUCCCAAUCUCUGGAUAGAAGUGCCUCUAUUUUCUUGAUUUUCCCAACUGUGUACUCUCCCUGGACUCCUGCGAUCGUUUAGUCAACAAAAGAACUCAAGGGAAGCAGUUUGAACUGUAAUGCUGUUCUUUAGGGUUAUCAGCCUGAAGAGACAGGCCCAACCAGCUCUGAAAAUCAGAACUUUUCUUCUUCCUGCUGUCUACAGCCAAGCCUUUUGAAAUUAAGAAACCUAGCACAGAUAUAGCAUAGACAGAGCCUGUGAGGCCUGGCCUCAGCUCAAAAGCUCAAACGUCAUCUAGGGAAUCCCUCUUCCUUCUUCCCUGAUGCCCUCCUAAUACAACUUGUUAUUAAAAGUUAUCUUUAUUUGAAUAUCACAGUCAGAUAAGAGGACUAACA